UGCCAGCAGCCGCGGUAAUUCAUAGGUGGCAAGCGUUGUCCGGAAUUAUUGGGCGUAAAGCGCGCGCAGGCGGAUCAGUCAGUCUGUCUUAAAAGUUCGGGGCUUAACCCCGUGAUGGGAUGGAAACUGCUGAUCUAGAGUAUCGGAGAGGAAAGUGGAAUUCCUAGUGUAGCGGUGAAAUGCGUAGAUAUUAGGAAGAACACCAGUGGCGAAGGCGACUUUCUGGACGAAAACUGACGCUGAGGCGCGAAAGCCAGGGGAGCGAACGGGAUUAGAUACCCCGGUAGUCCUGGCCGUAAACGAUGGGUACUAGGUGUAGGAGGUAUCGACCCCUUCUGUGCCGGAGUUAACGCAAUAAGUACCCCGCCUGGGGAGUACGACCGCAAGGUUGAAACUCAAAGGAAUUGACGGGGGCCCGCACAAGCGGUGGAGUAUGUGGUUUAAUUCGACGCAACGCGAAGAACCUUACCAGGUCUUGACAUUGAUGGACAGAACUAGAGAUAGUUCCUCUUCUUCGGAAGCCAGAA
rnacentral:rRNA from 1 species